UUACGGCGAUAUCACGUUGAAAAACCGGUUCCCGUGCGAUCACCGAAGUUAAGCAACGUCGAUCCUAGUCAGUACCAAAAUGGGUGACCAGUUGGAAGUACCAAGU